rnacentral:rRNA from 1 species
CUUUCCGCCAGAGAAUUACACGUGAAAAUCUUAAAACUCAAAGGACUUGACGGUGACCCAUACCCCCCUAGAGGAGCCUGUCCUUUAAUCGAUACCCCACGAUACACCUCACCCACCCCUUAUAAUUACAAGCCUAUAUACCGCCGUCGCCAGCCUACCUAAUGAUAGACAAAAAGUAGGCAAAAUAGUAGUCCCCACUAGCACGUCAGGUCAAGGUGUAGCUAAUGGGGUGGGAAGAGAUGGGCUACAUUUUCUAACUCACCAGACCAAUGCCGUAGGCUUCAUGAAACCUAGACCGAAAGUCGGAUUUAGCAGUAAGCACUGACAAGACAUGCCUAACUGAAGCCUGCCCCAGGACACGUACA